CCUAUUGCCUGCCUCCUGGACCUGUCAAGCUUGAGCAGCCUCUCAUCAUGGACUGAGAGCCGGCCUCUGAGGCUGAGAUCAGCCUCACCUGCUCUGCUGUCCCUCUCACAUGGUGGGGAGGUGGCAGAGUAGGACAGUGUGGGGAGCGGAGCUAAAGCCUUCCCUUCUCAUCCCACUGGUCUGCAGAGGAGGAGACCAGGGUGAGGCUGAAAUAAAACAGCAUGUGUAUCUAGUCAGCUCUGUCACCAUCUACUGACCCCCUGGCAAUUUCCAUAUGCCACUGAUCACAGGGCAGCAUUGAGAAGGCUGACAGGAUGUGCCAGGCUGCGGGCUGCAGUGCCGAGAAGGAGAAGACGGAGGUGGUGGUGAUGUCAACCAAGGAAUCAAGCAAGCCAAGGAGCUGAUAACAUCGCCCAGCAAGGCUCGCUGUGGGCAAGUUCUGCCAGGGAGGAAACUGGGCACAGAGAAGUUAAGUGACUUUCCUAAGGUCAUACCGAGACAACAUUCAACCCAAGAGGCCCAGUUCUGGAGGCCACACUGCCCUCAAAGCAGGGAUUCCCAGAGCAGCCCAAAGCAGAGAAAACUCUGGGCCAGAGGCUUGGGCCUGGAGGUGGCAGACACCUGGGAAGCUGUGGCAGGAACCAUCCAGCCAGGCAGCCAGGCCGCCAGCCAGUGAGUGCACGAGGGACCACAGGGGCAGACAAGCUCUACCCCACCUCAGGCUGUAGGACCCCAUCUACAGGGAUGUGGGUAUGAUGGGAGAAGGCAAGAGGGCAAUACUACCCUCAAAGGAAAGAACUGGCCACCAUGCCGGGUGGCAGGAAACCCUUGAGGAGGUGGCUCAGGCUCAGGGAGGGAGCCCCAAGCUGCUUCCUCUGUCCCCCUCCACAGCACAGCCUGGUACAGAUGGGUGCCCAGUUCCUGUGCUGAGGCCUACAAGCAGUCAGCCUGGCUGACUGGCUCUCCAUCUGUCUGUGUGUACAUGGGUGUGCAUGUGUGAAGGAAGAGGAGAAGGGGCCUCUGCAAUGUGCCUGCUUGCAGCGGAUCCUGUCCCCCACCCCCACCUGCCACAGCCACAGAGAACAGGACACACUGACUCUAAUCUGCACCUCUGGAGCUUGUAAACCACAGCCACGUCAGCAGAGCGUGCAUAGGGGCCGGGUGGGUGGCGGGGCCAUGGUGCAGGGUGCACAAGUGUACGCCAACAUGCGUGUGUAGGGCCAGCAAGGGGGUGCAGCCCCUGCCACCAGGAGCCCUCCAUGGGGAGGCACAGGGCCCAGGCCCUCUGACCACAGGCCCAGAGGUCUAGCCCCUCCAAGGGCAGUUCUUCCUCAGGUUCUCUCUUC